UACGUAGGGUGCAAGCGUUGUCCGGAAUUAUUGGGCGUAAAGAGCUCGUAGGCGGUCUGUCGCGUCGGAUGUGAAAACCCAGGGCUCAACCCUGGGCCUGCAUUCGAUACGGGCAGACUAGAGUUCGGUAGGGGAGACUGGAAUUCCUGGUGUAGCGGUGAAAUGCGCAGAUAUCAGGAGGAACACCGGUGGCGAAGGCGGGUCUCUGGGCCGAAACUGACGCUGAGGUGCGAAAGCGUGGGGAGCAAACAGG
rnacentral:rRNA from 1 species